UAGUGUUGACAGUUGGUUACUUGCCAUUAAUUUUUAUACCCCUUCCAAAUUUAUUUCUCCAAGUUCAAUGCUUCAAAUUGCAAGCAGGGGAGUGAAAUUAUACUGUAAAAAAAUUUGGGUCCAGAAUUUUAAAGGAAAGUAGUGAUUUGGUCCAGCUGAAAAAGGUUGAAAAUGAGCACUUUGGAAGCUGUCAAAAGAUUUCAAGACGCC
rnacentral:lncRNA from 1 species